CCCAAACCCUUUGAUGAUUGCCCCCCUUGAGGGGGUAAUUCGCCCCACUGGGGAUUGAAACACGGCCCCAGAUUCCUUCGGGGAGGCACCAGUAGGGAAUCUUCCCCAAUUGACCGAAAUUCUGAUGGAGCAACCCCGCGUGAGUGAAGAAGGUUUUCGGAUCGUAAAACUCUGUUGUUGGAGAAGAACGUAUUUGAUAGUAACUGAUCAGGUAGUGACGGUAUCCAACCAGAAAGCCACGGCUAACUACGUGCCAGCAGCCGCGGUAAUACGUAGGUGGCAAGCGUUGUCCGGAUUUAUUGGGCGUAAAGCGAGCGCAGGCGGUUUCUUAAGUCUGAUGUGAAAGCCUUCGGCUCAACCGAAGAAGUGCAUCGGAAACUGGGAAACUUGAGUGCAGAAGAGGACAGUGGAACUCCAUGUGUAGCGGUGAAAUGCGUAGAUAUAUGGAAGAACACCAGUGGCGAAGGCGGCUGUCUGGUCUGUAACUGACGCUGAGGCUCGAAAGCAUGGGUAGCAAACAGGAUUAGAUACCCUGGUAGUCCAUGCCGUAAACGAUGAGUGCUAGGUGUUGGAGGGUUUCCGCCCUUCAGUGCCGCAGCUAACGCAUUAAGCACUCCGCCUGGGGAGUACGACCGCAAGGUUGAAACUCAAAGGAAUUGACGGGGGCCCGCACAAGCGGUGGAGCAUGUGGUUUAAUUCGAAGCAACGCGAAGAACCUUACCAGGUCUUGACAUCCUUUGACCACUCUAGAGAUAGAGCUUUCCCUUCGGGGACAAAGUGACAGGUGGUGCAUGGUUGUCGUCAGCUCGUGUCGUGAGAUGUUGGGUUAAGUCCCGCAACGAGCGCAACCCUUAUUACUAGUUGCCAGCAUUUAGUUGGGCACUCUAGUGAGACUGCCGGUGACAAACCGGAGGAAGGUGGGGACGACGUCAAAUCAUCAUGCCCCUUAUGACCUGGGCUACACACGUGCUACAAUGGAUGGUACAACGAGUCGCGAGACCGCGAGGUUUAGCUAAUCUCUUAAAACCAUUCUCAGUUCGGAUUGUAGGC
rnacentral:rRNA from 1 species